rnacentral:rRNA from 1 species
GAAAACUGGCGGCAGCUUACCAUGCAAGUCCGACGGGGUUAAGGUGCUUGCACCUGAUACCUAGAGGCGAAUGGGUGAGUAAUGCUUAGGAAUCUGCCUAUUAAUGAGAGACAACAACUCGAAAGGGUUGCUAAUACCGCAUACGCCCUACGGGGGGAAGCAGGGGAUCUUCGGACCUUGCGUUAAUAGAUGAGCCUAAGUCGGAUUAGCUAGUUGGUGGGGUAAAGGCCUACCAAGGCGACGAUCUGUAGCGGGUCUGAGAGGAUGAUCCGCCACACUGGGACUGAGACACGGCCCAGACUCCUACCGGAGGCAACAGUGGGGAAUAUUGGACAAUGGGCGCAAGCCUGAUCCAGCCAUGCCGCGUGUGUGAAGAAGGUCGUAAGAUUGUAAAGCACUUUAAGCGAGGAGGAGGGUACUGAUGCUAAUAUCAUCAAGUGCUGGACGUUACUCGCAGAAUAAGCACCGGCUAACUCUGUGCCAGCAGCCGCGGUAAU